ACUCCUACGGGAGGCAGCAGUGAGGAAUAUUGGUCAAUGGGCGAGAGCCUGAACCAGCCAAGUCGCGUGAAGGAAGAAGGUUCUAUGGAUUGUAAACUUCUUUUGUAAGGGAAUAAAGUGCAGCACGUGUGCUGUUUUGUAUGUACUUUACGAAUAAGGAUCGGCUAACUCCGUGCCAGCAGCCGCGGUAAUACGGAGGAUCCGAGCGUUAUCCGGAUUUAUUGGGUUUAAAGGGUGCGUAGGCGGUUGAAUAAGUCAGCGGUGAAAUUUUCAGGCUUAACCUGGAGACUGCCGUUGAUACUGUUUAGCUGGAAUAUGGUUGCUGUGGGUGGAAUGUGUGGUGUAGCGGUGAAAUGCAUAGAUAUCACACAGAAUAUCGAUUGCGAAGGCAGCUCACAAAGCCAUUAUUGACGCUGAUGCACGAAAGUGUGGGGAUCAAACAGGAUUAGAUACCCUGGUAGUCCACACUGUAAACGAUGAUAACUCGCUGUCGGCGAUAUACAGUCGGUAGCCAAGCGAAAGCGAUAAGUUAUCCACCUGGGGAGUACGACCGCAAGGUUGAAACUCAAAGGAAAUUGACGGGG
rnacentral:rRNA from 1 species